GCUGAGGAAGCGAGGUGGGAUGGGCAGAAUUGGAGGGGAGAGCAGAUCUUGAUGGGGUGGUUAGUGCUAGGGCAGUGAGGAGGUCCCGGGAAGGAAGAGGGAGCUGAUGAUUGCAGUGUUAGGAGGGCUGAGGGAGCAGAGCUGGGAAGGAGGGAGUUGGGAAGGGAGGGAAGAUGGAUUGUCAGGAAUGUUUGGGUAAAGCAGCCUUCAUCAGAACGGGCCCAGCAUGGUGCCAGUGCUGGUACAGAAUGUGUGUGGGGAGCUGAGGCACAGGAAGCCUUUGUGUGGAGUUGUGGUCUCAGCCUGUUGUUUUGGGGGUGGGGGGCAGAUUCUGCCCUGUUGUCCUUUGCUUUCCUGAGAUGCAGGUGAGAGAUGCAGGCCCAAGGGUCAGCCAUGGACCCUGGUGCAGGCCUAGUGGUGUCCUGGCCCCAAGGGGAUGCGCUGGGAGGACUUAUUUGUGCCUGCAUCUGGGACACCUCAGUACCUGGGGAGCUAGUGAUUAUUUUGCUGAGUGUUGCACUGGGGCUGUAAAAGUGCUCAUCUGAGCACAGCUUAGCCCAGAAGAGCAUAGAAUCACAGAACGGUUAGCAUCCCUUUGUAUAAAUGUCCUUAUCUGCAGUUGAGCUACCCAGGGGCUUGUUGCACUGCCUGCUGGCAUGAGUAACGCUGGGCACUUUUGUAUGGAGACAAAGCCUAGAGAAGCAAAGCCUGGUGCUGGUUAUUUCUGGGGUGGAGCCAGCCCUGGUGCCUCAGAGAGCACAACUCCCAGAAGGGACCCCCUAGGGAGGUGCUUUUUUUCUGCAUCACCUUUUUCUCCAGCAGCUUUCAAUGCUCUCACCUUUUAUGUGCAGUACUUUGAUAGAGGCCAUUUUCUCAGCUUUCCUCUCUCGGUGGACUUGUUGCACAGGGUUGGGUUUUUUGUUUGUUUUAGGGAUCAUUUAUCUGCUUGCUUCAUAAAAUAACCUCGGAGACUGCACUGCCUUGCAGGGUAGCUGAGCUGCUCACAGGCAUUUUCUUCUUCUUCAGCCUGAUUGUUUAAUGCAACAAGUUCUCCCAGAGCACAGGCAUUGAACUGGGAAGAGAGAGCUCCUGGGUGACAGCUAUGGUGUUGCAGCUGCAUCCACUGGGAAAUUAUGUAUGGAGGUUAAUAGUGUGUGUCAAAAAUGCUUGCCCAUCACAAGUUCAUACCAAAGCACUCCUCUUGCUGGAUAGGGAGGCAUGUGUAUGUGUCCCUGUGUUGGUGUAAAUGUGGAAGUGGCAGUAUGCAGGUUUAAACACACCUUGAAACCCUGACUUGGUGUAACCAGAGCUGGGGUUGCUCACUCUGAUCAACCUGCAGGCCCCUGAAGUUCCCUUUUCACUGUACAGCAGAGCCUCCUCAUUUUGUGUUGGCAUGCUUGCCUGGCAGCCAGACUGUUCCUGGAUCAAUUUGUAGUGCUCUGCUUCUGCCUCUUACUCAUCUGUGGCAUGUUCUUUUCUUCAGAUGUCAUUUCUAGAUAAGUGCUGUGCUUUGAGUGUGUUGCUAGAAGAGAGGAAGUUAUUUACUUCUGCAUUUUCUUUUGUGCUCAUUCUGUGGCCCUCUUGUCAAGGCAAGCGCAGGGCGGAGACAAGGGUCUGAGAUGUGCAGGGAGGUGUAUUUCUUCUUGGUUUCAUGUCUUUUAGGGACUGAGUGUCAUGGAAUGUUUAUUCAUGUGAAAUUUCUUUUCCGUCCAGUUCUGGGGUCAUUCCCAUGGUGCUGAACUUGGAGGCAGGAAUAUAUUUCCUGUAUUUCACUAUUUUGGUGAUGGUUUUCCUAAGGGACAGCAUAGGACAGUCAGGGCAAGGUCUAGCCUUCAGGGGUUCCAUGACUGGGAGGAGUGAGUGUGGACACUCAGCUGGUUUUGCAUCAUUUUCUCUAAACCAGGAGCGGAGCUGAUGCAAUGCACUAUGCAUUUGUCCUUAUCUGUUGCCUUUGGAACCAGGUGUGCCUGGUGGCUUCAGCACCAGCCUGGGAGUUGGGCAGGGCAGGGUUUGUUUCCAAAUCCUUUGCCAAAGACUUGUUGUUUGACUUGGGCUGUAUCACUCCCUUCUGCUCCCCACAGGCACACAUGGCUCCCUGCAGGGCUUUCCUGGGCCAUCAGGUGAGAGACACUUUGUAUGUCACUGUAUCAGAUAGAACUAGGUCACGUUUAGGAGAGACUGCCCAUGACACUAUUGUCCUGUAUUGUAUGUCAAAGUCCACUCUUCAUAGAGGUCCAUCAGCUGUCUCUGGUGUUCCCAAUGUGGAAGUGCCUUGGCAGUGCUGCACACAGAUCAGCACUUGAGGUAGGGCCUGACUCAUAUCCAAGAGUCCUCCCUUGACAAGGUCCUUGGAUCUUGGCAGCAUCCACCUGUAAAGAGGGUAAUUCCAGAUGCAGUUUGGUUUGGUGGGCAAAAACCCAUGGAAAUCUCUCCUUGGGCAGCUGCCAUUGAACAGUGGUAUUUAGAUCAAGGUGGUGACAGCCCUUGGUAGGUACAAAUCUGCAGGGCUUCAUGACUGCAUAGGAGACCAGCUUGACCUUCCCUGGUGCAGAGCAGUUCCUGUGUGCUGGUUGGAGAGCGGGGUUGAAGCUGCAUCCGUAUGCUUGAUGGUAUUUCCCAUUUGUGGUUACUUUGGUGCUCGUUGACUGUAGAGCUGAGCCUUUCAGAUGGAGAAGCUGAGCGCUGGGUGAAACCUGGUAGCGUGAACUUUGUGUUUGUGAUGUGACAUGUGGAGUGAGUUCGUUGUGAGGAGACUGAGGAGCAUCUGGAGGCUGCUGGGCAUGUUGGGAGGGUAGAGGAGCUUUGGGUCCUGAUGGGCGCCACUGAAAAACAUUCUGCGGGAGUGGCUGUGGCCAUCUGUGGCUCUGGCACUUCAGGGGAGCUCAGCAACCCCAUGGAAAACAGAGGUUUGCUCCUCUGCUGCUCCAUCCUUCUUGCUGACGCAGCCACAUUUUUGUGGCUUCAGGGGAAACAGCACUGGGGAAGUGACCUAGGUUAAAAUUAAACAGUCAAAACUGGGUAUUUUUAGCCCAGAUGAGUUUCCUCAUACCAUUCAUUGUGUGAAGGCUGCUCACCAGCAGCUGAGGAGCAGGGAUCAGAUCUCCUUCCUGCAGCAGCAGUGGCAGGUGCUGGCUCAGUGGUCUCACAAGCCUAGCCUGGAGCUACACGUCUGCCCCGGCAUAACCUCCCCUGCUGAAACCCAUUUGCCUGACACCAAGGCGUGCUGUGGUGAUGCUGCCGACAGAAAGUAGUACUCUUGGGUUCAGCAUGGCAUGGGCAGCACCAGUGGUAGACCUUGGCUGUACGUGUUGACUGAGCAUGUUUGAGCAUAGCUCCUGUGCUGCCACAGUAAUCUGGCUUCAGCCACCAGGGGAGAUGACUUUGUGUUAAUGGUGGAUCAUGAACCACCUCUGUCUGGAGCUAGGCAGUGCUCCACUUUUGAGCAAUAUUGCAGGGAACAGGAGGGAAGAGCAGCCCAGAUCUGCAAAGUGUUAGGCUUCCACAGCUAGUUCUCUCAUCACUCCAGCCUCAGUUUUCAUCUCAGGUUCCUGAGAGGGGUCUGCUCCUUAUUAUCCUCUGAGAACAGUUCUUGCUGCAGUCACCUCUGCUUUGCACCAAAGAAAAGUGGGAAUUGGUUGCUGUACUAAAGAAAUGCAGUGAAUGGUGUGCACAAAACAAGGCUCUUCCACAGAGGCCUGCCCCAGCAUCAGAUCACUGCAGCAGGGAACCAUGGGCUACCUGCCUGCAUCUGGAACUGAGAUGUGUGGGGCAAAGACCUGGCUGGAAGCAGACCUGUCCAGACCUGUGCUGCGGGACUAGUCUGUGCUUUGUCCACUGGGAAUUCCAGUGUUCCUUCCUACCAGCCAGCCUCCUCCAGGCUGCUGGGCACAAAGCAGAGGAGAAGCUUGGCCACGGAGGGGUCACAACCAAGAGGGGAGAGCUGGCACGUGUAGGGGCUGCCAUACACAGCUCAGCAUUGCCUGACUCCUGCUUGAGUGCGUGGUGGGUGUGCUGCCAGAGCUAUGGGAGCUCUUUAGUUGCACACACUCCCGCAGCUUACGCAGAGUAGCUUUUGUUAGCUGAGCAGGCCCGGGGUGGAGGAACUGUUCAGAUAAUUUUAGACGUUGCUUAUAAUUUUCUUUCUUGGGGUGACCUUUCUGUAGCGGGAGCCUGCAGUCUGUCACUGAAUCUGGCUUGCUCUCUCCACACUAUGUGUCAACUCCGCUGAUCUGAAAGCUCUGCUCAGAGCUUUAAGCUUUGAAGAUGCUGCCUUUCCCCCUCCCCUCCUCUGGAGCAAGAGAUUAGAAUAUCUAUAUGUCUGCAGCUUUUAAAAUAAUUGUCAUUCACCCUUAUUGGGUACAGGCCUUAAUUGUAAUGUGGGAGAUGUUUCAGUACGAUUGUUGGCCAAGUUUGCAUUUAGGUCUGUUUAAUACAGAACAUGAGGGCUCUGCAUAAUUACAGUCUUCGUUCUUCUGGUCUUGUAUUUCUUGUAGCAUAUGGCUAAGAGCCUCCAUGGCCUGAGAAUGAGGCAGGGAAGUUUGGAAGUUGUCCGAGUCAAAAUUGAGGAAAUGCUGUCAGGAGAAGACGAUUUGCUGUUUACUUAAGUGCUCGCUGGCGCCCUUCCAAGGGCAUUGUGACUUCUCAUGAAUGUUCUGCUGGGGUGAAAAAUUUGAUUUGGAUCUGGCUCUGUAUUAGCUAGAUGGAGUGGAGGAUCCAUUUGGAGAUGAAUAGGAGUAAUGCAGGCAAGAAGAUGUAAAACCUGUCAGGGUCUUUUAUUGUUACAAGCUCAGGGCAGAUGGGAUUUGGUGUGGAUUUGACUUCAGACCUGUGUUAUCAGAAAAUGGACUGCUGCUGCUGCUCGGAACAGCUGCCAUUUUAGCAUCUGAGUUCAGGCAGGGUUUUGCAGAAAGGUCUGGUCUGGCUUCGGUGUUUAGUGCAGAGAGGAGCCAUCUCAGUUAUUCCUGGUAUGAGGUGUUUUUAUUGUCCAUGUGGGGCAGAGGGUAGCAAACAGGGAGGAUCGCUGGGUGAAGCUGUGGUUCAGGUAGCAUUGGUGAUAAGGAGUUUGCAGGGGUCACAGCAGCUCUGCCCCAGGAACAGAUGGGCUGUGCUGUCUGAAAUCCUUUGAGAGUAGUCUGGGUCUCGGAGACUUGAACCGGGGUGGAAAUGAACCCCAGAUGAGCUGGCUGCCCAGAGCCCUGCUUUGAAACACAAAAGGGAUGUCUGGGACCGACAGUCACUGUGCUGAUUCUCACCAUGGUGUGGAUGGGUGUCAUCACAGAGGCAGGGGACACUGGAGCAUGCUAGACCAGGCAAUGCUCUGAGACCAUGCCAGGAACCUGACAGUAACCAGUACCCACCCUGCAGCAUUGCAGCCCUGGUCCCAGGCCUGCUGUGCAUCCUGCAUGAAGCCUUCACCUGCACGAGAGCAGGGUGGCUGGGAGGCUAUGCACGGAGCAGACAUGCUGUGCUUCGCAGGGCAUUUGGCACAUCCCCUGCUGCUAUUUCUGCUGACAGAAGAUAGGGUUGCUGGAGGGUUGAGGGGAAGCGAUCACGUGCAAGCGACCUGCAGUGCUGUUACUUGUCCAGAAGCUGCAGGAGGCUGGAGGUGAGAACUCCAAUCUCUUUUGCCUGGGGGCUUCUUGAUGGGGGAACAACAAUAACAGGCAGCAAAAGGGGUGAUUUUUCUUUUGUAGAAAUGUUUUAAGCAGCCAGAAUAGUUCUGGUGGGGUGAGCCAGAAAAAUAAAUAGAAGUACUUAAACUUUGGGGUUGUAAGGCUGUUGAACUGUGAAGGACUUAGAGAGCUUACCUCAUUCCCAGACACACUUCUGAUGCUGUGCUCUGUCCUCCCCUGGGCCAGAACAGGCCUGGGUUACUCAGGUGUGUGCCAGCUGAGGUAGAAAGCCCACCCUGCAGGAGACGACAGGGCUAGUGUGGCUGCAAGGAGCUCUGUAUGUGGCUCACGUGAGUGCUUGCUUCACUGAGGCUGUACCAGGAAGUGGGUGGAUAUUCAGCACCCAAAGUUCUGCCCAGUUACCUACUUCUUCCUUCAAUAUCUUGCCAUCCCCAAGCACAAAAACCAAGCCACUUGGGAAAUAACUGUUAAAAUAACUUCUCUAAGAAAUUAUGCUUGCUCAAUGAAAGGCUUAAAAUUGGGGCUGUGUUACCUGUAAGCUUUUGUGUGCAGAGCAAAGGCUCUGUCCUGCAGAGAGACAUUAACUGUCUUUGGGUAUGUGGGUAUGUGGUCUCCAGCAUGAUCUUCCUGUCAUCUCCUGGGGUACUCAUUGUGUGAGCCAGGGAAUUGCCCUUCCUAGGCACUCCAGGGGCUAGCUGUCAGUUGUUUCCCUGCCUUUCUAGGAGGGAGGUGCUGUGUUCAGAGGCUUUGCUGGGAGCCGGUGCUCUGGGAGGCAUCAGCUCUGUGUGUGUGGAACACGGCUUGAAUGGUGGAGCUUUGAGAAGAUGGAACAGAGGCUUGGGGGUGCAUCCUCUUUAAUAUUCCUGGCUCUCAUGUGCCUGACUGUGCUAUCUUUGAAACUUCCUACAUAGGUUUCUUUUUUUAUAAAAAAAUUAUACUGCCAUCCAAGCUCAUUCCCAAGUCUGAGUGUGGUGCUCUAAAAGAGGAACACGUCUGCAUCGACUGACCAGGUGGGAUCAGUGGGGUUUUCUUUUAUCUCUGCUCUGAGCAAUCCUCAGUGAGCAGAAGUGGCUUGGGUGCGGCUUAGGGAAUUGCUCCCCUUUCCAAGAGCCCAACUUAAAUAUGAAGCCUUUUGAGCCUCUGUCUCAGGCCCAGCUGGGAACAGGAGAUGAGAGCAAGAGAAGGUCACAGGUAGCUGGUACGGCGCUUAAGCUAAAAGGCCUGCCUCAGGUACACUCGCACUGCUUCUUUCAAGUGUGUGGUUUUCAUCUUCAGUGAUGCAGCACAAAAGACAGAGGCUCUCGAGUCUCCCAACAAAAAGGGCUGUUGCUUUUCUUUUCACAGCUAAUAACUUUCAAGAAGAAGCAACACCUCAUCGUUUCCACUUAGGAUCUGUGGCUGGGGGUUAAUUCCUCUGUUUUCACCCUGGUAAAAUGUCACUGACCCAGUGCAUGGUCUGGGAUCAUUGCUGUUCAAUGCCUUGGUCUCCCUGCAUUGUCCAUCUUGUGGUUUGGCACAUGGUGGUCAUUCCUGACCUCUUGGAAUGAGGCUGUCUGCAGAAGAGCUGAUGGAAGAACAGUGCUAGGGAGUAAACAAAUACCAAA